GAUGAACGCUGGCGGCGUGCCUAAUACAUGCAAGUCGAGCGAACGGACGAGAAGCUUGCUUCUCUGAUGUUAGCGGCGGACGGGUGAGUAACACGUGGAUAACCUACCUAUAAGACUGGGAUAACUUCGGGAAACCGGAGCUAAUUCCGGAUAAUAUUUUGAACCGCAUGGUUCAAAAGUGAAAGACGGUCUUGCUGUCACUUAUAGAUGGAUCCGCGCUGCAUUAGCUAGUUGGUAAGGUAACGGCGUACCAAGGCAACGAUGCAUAGCCGACCUGAGAGGGUGAUCGGCCACACUGGAACUGAGACACGGUCCAGACUCCUACGGGAGGCAGCAGUAGGGAAUCUUCCGCAAUGGGCGAAAGCCUGACGGAGCAACGCCGCGUGAGUGAUGAAGGUCUUCGGAUCGUAAAACUCUGUUAUUAGGGAAGAACAUAUGUGUAAGUAACUGUGCACAUCUUGACGGUACCUGAUCAGAAAGCCACGGCUAACUACGUG
rnacentral:rRNA from 1 species